rnacentral:rRNA from 1 species
AACAUGCCUUGAGGUGGGGGACAACAGUUGGAAACGACUGCUAAUACCGCAUAAUGUCUACGGACCAAAGGGGGCUUCGGCUCUCGCCUUUAGAUUGGCCCAAGUGGGAUUAGCUAGUUGGUGAGGUAAUGGCUCACCAAGGCGACGAUCCCUAGCUGGUUUGAGAGGAUGAUCAGCCACACUGGGACUGAGACACGGCCCAGACUCCUACGGGAGGCAGCAGUGGGGAAUAUUGCACAAUGGGCGCAAGCCUGAUGCAGCCAUGCCGCGUGUGUGAAGAAGGCCUUCGGGUUGUAAAGCACUUUCAGUCAGGAGGAAAGGUUAACGGUUAAUACCCGUUAGCUGUGACGUUACUGACAGAAGAAGCACCGGCUAACUCCGUGCCAGCAGCCGCGGUAAUACGGAGGGUGCGAGCGUUAAUCGGAAUUACUGGGCGUAAAGCGUACGCAGGCGGUUUGUUAAGCGAGAUGUGAAAGCCCCGGGCUCAACCUGGGAACUGCAUUUCGAACUGGCAAACUAGAGUGUGAUAGAGGGUGGUAGAAUUUCAGGUGUAGCGGUGAAAUGCGUAGAGAUCUGAAGGAAUACCGAUGGCGAAGGCAGCCACCUGGGUCAACACUGACGCUCAUGUACGAAAGCGUGGGGAGCAAACGGGAUUAGAUACCCCGGUAGUCCACGCCGUAAACGAUGUCUACUAGAAGCUCGGAGCCUCGGUUCUGUUUUUCAAAGCUAACGCAUUAAGUAGACCGCCUGGGGAGUACGGCCGCAAGGUUAAAACUCAAAUGAAUUGACGGGGGCCCGCACAAGCGGUGGAGCAUGUGGUUUAAUUCGAUG